GACGAACGCUGGCGGCGUGCUUAACACAUGCAAGUCGAACGGAGUGGCGAACGGGUGAGUAACACGUGGGUGACCUGCCCUGCACUUCGGGAUAAGCCUGGGAAACUGGUUCUAAUACCGGCUCGGGUGGGAGGGGCCCGCGGCCUAUCAGCUUGUUGGUGGGGUAAUGGCCUACGAAGGCGGCGACGGGUAGCCGGCCGGGGCGGGUGGACGGCCACAAUGGGACUGCGAGACGUCGCAGACGCCUACGGGAGGCAGCAGUGGGGAAGAUUGCACAAGGGGCGGAAGCCUGUUGCAGCGACGCUGCGGGGGGGAUGACGGCCUUCGUGGUGUAAACUCCUUUCACCAUCGACGCGGUAGAGGGAGAAGAAGCACCGGCGAACUACGUGCCAGCAGCCGCGGUAAUUC
rnacentral:rRNA from 1 species